CUCAGUCUCAUCUGCAAAGAAG
rnacentral:miRNA from 1 species